rnacentral:rRNA from 1 species
UACGGAGGGUGCAAGCGUUGCUCGGAUUUACUGGGCGUAAAGCGUACGCAGACGGUGAGAAAGGUCGGAUGUGAAAGCCCCGGGCUCAACCCGGGAACUGCAUCCGAAACCAUCUCGCUAGAGUAUGGGAGAGGGAAGCGGAAUUCCUGGUGUAGAGGUGAAACUCGUAGAUAUCAGGAGGAACAUCUGCGGCGAAGGCGGCUUCCUGGCCCAUUACUGACGUUCAGGUACGAAAGCGUGGGUAGCAAACAGG